UCUAAAAACAAAGUAAGCACCCUGGACACGAGGAGCAGUCGAGAACCAUCCCUUAUUAUUAGUUCAUUCCGUUCACAAAAUACGUAUUCAAAGUUAAGCACUCAAAUUAGCCAUUUUCAACAAGGGAGAAAUAAGUAGAGGUUUUUAAUCCACCGGGAGCUACAAAACCCACAUAAAUGCCACUCCCACCAGUUACUAAAUCUCCCACCGGCAUUCCGUCCCAUCCGGAUGGGACGACUCCGUCGACGUCGAU